UACGUAUUAAUUUGUUUGUUUAAAUCGAUCAAAUCUAAAGUUAAAUUUUACUGAAAAAAAUUUUUUUUUAUAGUUUGAGUUUUGAAUCUAAUCGGAAGGGAAAUAAAUUGAAAUGAUAUUAUUGUGUAUUUAAUACUGAUUUAGAUUUCUAAUUAAUACGGUAGUUGCUGCCACCAGAUGUAGUCUAUGGACUAUUUCAAAAUAUUUUAUUUUUAUUAUUUUCUUUUACGUUUAAUGGGUAGCGUUAACUGACGCCUAAUGCAACUGGUAAACGAAUUCCAUUUUUCGGCUAACCUGCUAUGCGCAGGGAUGCUAGCACGGGAGAGGAUUAAAGCUGGGUACAAUAAAUAUUUUUCCUCGUUGAACAGAUUUUCUAUUUGAAUGUAAAAUUGCUUAGGUUAUUAUAUAUAUAUAUAUUUUAUUAGCUGGAUAUAUAUAUUUUAGUGUUGCUGGAUUAGAUAGGGAUGUGAGAUUUUUGUUGUUUUAUAUAAAUUUAUCUUUACGUUUGUUUAAAGUUAAACAAUGAUUCUAUUCUCAAAACCCUUCACGGAAAUAAGACGAGAUUGAUGAUAGGAAGUUCUGGUUUGAUUCUCGAAAUUAUCAGAGAAGACGAAAUUUUAAAAAAUUUAUUUUCUUACCUUGAGGAGAAGGUGCUGUCGGGUGCCAUUACUCCAGCUGCUCAGGUGAUCGUCGAAGUUUGUUGGGUUUAUUAUUUAAUCUCGAAUAUAGUUUUCUAUCAACCUUUACUUUAUUUAGCUAUUUCGAUACAGAUUGAAUAACUCGCUAACUGAAUUAAUACAGCAAUGGGGACUUAAAAUUCUUCUUUUAUUUAAUCGCGACUCUCUUGUCUUUACCGAAAAAACUAAAAGACCCCGAAACGCAAAAUACUUAUACAAAUCUUUGAAUGCAAUAAUGAGCGAACGGCAAUAACAAUGAUCACUAUAAUGAUGAACCAAGAUUAAAGCCCACGCUCUAUGUUGCUACGCUUAUUUAUAAUGCCAUCCCCACGGGAUGGUGGUCCACUGGGGGUAUGCUUCCGUGGGAAUCAGGAUGUUGCAGUUUGAAUUUCUUGAAAUCGUACGUGAGAGAAUGCGGGUUCCAUGCGUCGACUUAGUUCCUAUCAGUCCUGUGCUUCUGCUGAGCUAGCAUCUAGGAGACUCGAAGCAUUCCAUGCUGAUCUAGUCCUUCCCGCGAGAAUCUUCCACGUGCUGUACCGUGGGAAUUAUCUGUGUUUCUUCGGUGCGUGCAAGGGUUGGCGGCCGCAGCAUCAUUAUCACUUCGAUGCUCGCUCGGGCAACACGCGCGACAUCCGCUGCUCUCCCGCUACAAGGACCUCCUUCUUUGAGUUAUUUUUGCGCUUUGGUGAUCGACGUUCGGACAAUGUUUGCGGAGGCAUUUCCAUCAGAGGUUUCUUAUUAUAUUAUUUUUAGAUGUAUUUUGUUUUUAUGUACGAAAUAUAUAUAUAUAUAUAUAUAUAUAUAUAUAUAUAUAUAUAUAUAUAUAUAUAUAUAUAUAUAUUCUAUGUAUCUAUUAUACGUUUGUUAAAUAUAUUUAAUUUUAUAUUUCCCCCUUUUUAAUUAAUUAUAUAUAUUUUUACAUUUGCAUUUGACAGUGUAGUCGCUCAUAGAGUCUAUUAAAGAAAAUUGUUAACAAUAUGCUUUCAUGAUUUGUUUCUCGCGCCUGUUUUCCAUUAAUCCCUAAUAUUCCUGUCGCCAUGAUGCGUGUAAAUCCAACAUGGCUGCUCAUAAAUGUCAUCAGUAAAGUUUUAGUAACGGGUCUUUAGUUUUGUUUGAUAUCGAAGUAAUUUUUCGUCUGUCGCUCGUUUUUCCUUAUUCUAUCGCAAUUAGAACAUUUAUUUAUUAAUAUUGUUUUAAAGUGACAAUAGUAUAGCUCGUGUGAAUAUACGUAUAUACAUAUAUGUUUAUGUUGUGUGUCACUUCAAUAUGGUUAAUGUUUUGUAAUUCUUCGAUUGCGCUAUUUAUUGUUUUGAGUAGUUUAUUUUAUAGAGUAUUCGAUAAUAUAAAACAUAUGUACUCACACAUACAUACAUAUAUAUAUAUAUAUAUAUAUAUAUAUAUAUAUAUAUAUAUACGUAUUUAUAUGUAUAUUUCUCUCGCCCGUGUAGUGUGCAUACGAAAUGAAAUGUUAAUUAUUUAUUUUAUAUUAAUUUCUUUUAAUAAGAUAGAACACGCACAGGCACACAUAUAUAUGUAUAUAUUUCUGGCAAGGUGAUUUUCAUUUAGAUUCUUUAGUGAUAUAGUGUUGUGUACUUGAGGUUAUGUGUCAAUCAUUUGAUUUCAUAUAUACAUAUAUAUCUUGUAGUGUGACAACAUAGUAUUGAAGGUUUUGUUUCUAGAUUAUUGUGCGUUUAGUGUGUGUUUACAUAUUUGUGUUUGAUGGUAGAAUUUCUGUACCCAAUUCCUCAAGUCGUUGCGCUGUUAAUUGUUUUGAGCGUUUGGGCUAUCGACAGGUUGUCGCUUAGUCCCAAGUGUUGCGUUGUAUGUUCUAUAGUAGUUUUAGUUUAGAAAAUAGAUUAUUUAUAUGUUUAUGUAGAGACAUGCAUGUUUCGUAAUGUAGUUCUUAUUUUAUAAUUCUUUACCGGAAUGCAGGCUAGUUUUAAGUAUGUAUCUUAGAUUAUCGAUUUGAAUCAAUAAUGUAGAAAGAGCAUACAUUAAUAGUAGUUUAGUUUAGAAUAUAAUUUAUAUAUUUAUAUAUAGACAUGCAUGUUUCGUAAUGUAGUUCUUAUUUUAUAAUUCUUUACCGGAAUGUAGACUAGUUUUAAGUAUGUAUCUGUUUGAUAGAAUGCGCACACAUAUAUAUAUGUUUAAUACAAUAUUGUAUGUUUUAUGUAUUCGUUAGACUAUUAGUUUUUGACUUCGUAUAUACUUAUAUUUCAUAAAUUGUUAAUAUAGUAUUGGAAGCACUGUCUCUAAUAUUUACUAGUUUAUUACAUGUCUAGCAUAUAUGUUUAUACUUAUAUGUAACUCUCCAAGUUGAUUGAUUAAAAUAUAUUUAUAUAUACAUGUAUUUCUGGCGUUUCAAUUAUUUCCCCUUUUGUAGUUAUUCUUAUUUCCCGGUUUAUUUGUUUGGUUCGUAACUCGUUCAAUCCAUUAGCUGGUUUUAUCUAUUUUAUUUUAUACUGGUUGGAUUUAUUAGUCGCCCUCGUUUUGUUAAUCCUUCCUUUAGUUUCGUAGCGCCGUGUGUUCGUUCGUGCAUUCAAAUCCUUAUUCGCGCGUUUUGUAUAGAAUAGUUUUCUUGUUCUUGUUACGGCGCGUGCGGAGCGCGGGACGUGACACCCCCACCCUUGGAGUUCAAAUUUCCAAAGGAAAUUUGACUGAUGGCGUCACUGAGUUCGCUCAAGGCGGAUGUAGAUGUCGUUGGUUGAUGAGUGACUACCGGUGUUAUCGUCCAUCAUCCCAGGAUGUUUACUGUUCCAGGGACGAUUGUUUUUCCUGUCGCUCCUCUGGCCAAUGUGUUUAAGACUGCAAUAUUUCUGCCGGGAACAUGACGUGGUCCCGUAGUGCGUCCAGGUCCUCUUGGGUAUAUAUUCCGCUCAUGGUCACCGACGAUGGUGCUGAAUAUUGCCACGUUUGGCGCACGUCCGGGCGGAAUUUGUGUGGUGCGAUUCCCUUGCCAAACGGAUAGCUCCGAGUAGCAUUUUGUUGUAUGUCGUACUUUUACUUGUACCGGAAUGUAUUUGACUAUAUGGACCGCUUCUCCUGCGAUCAAAUCCAUGUGUCCUGGGUUUUGGUUAUGGUGUAUGCAAAUUCGUCGGGCGGUUUUACGUACUUGUUAUCAGUGAAAAUAAAUAUUAUGAAUACUACUUGGAUUGUAACUAUAUACAUAUAUGCGUAC